UGGCCCAUCACGAGCCCCGAAACGCUUCAGUUUUUCCAAAACGAGGUAGAGCGUAAACCCUAAUAAAUCCCCGUUCAAACUCCGCGAAGGCUUGAGCUAGUUGGAUGGCAAGGCAACCAAGCCCUGAAAUUGAUGAUGAGCUUUUCAAUGAAGUGUAUGGGAAGGAAUAUACUGGUCCACUUAGACCAACUGGCAACAGCAUAUCAGUAAACACGCCAAACAAAAGGCCCCAUGAUGAUCAUUCUGCUGAUGACGAGGAGCGUCUUGAUCUUAAUGCUGUUCCAACUGAUUUUACUAGCAGAGAGGCCAAAGCGUGGGAGGCUAAAGCAAAGGCAAUGGAACGGAAUUGGAAGAAGAAGAAAGAGGAAGAAAUGAUCUGCAAAAUAUGUGGAGAAUCUGGUCAUUUUACCCAGGGUUGUCCAUCUACUCUUGGAGCAAACCGCAAAACUGCAGAUGUUUUCCAGAGAGUACCUGCAAGAGAUAAGAAUGUGAGAGCCAUUUUCUCUGAGAAAGUGAUCAGCCAGAUCGAGAAGGACAUUGGUUGCAAAAUCAAAUUGGACGAGAAGUUUCUGUUUGUGAGUGGAAAAGAUAGGCUUAUUUUGUCUAAAGGUGUAGAUGCUGUGCACAAGCUUAUCCAGGAUGAUAAGGAUAAAAGUUCUACAAGCUCUCAUAGUUUGAGAUCCAAAUCUCCUGUUAGAAGUCCUGCAGAUUCUCGUUAUAGACAGUCUGAAUAUCAAAGGUCAAACCCUAGUCCCAGAAAUACUUCACACCUCCAAGGCAGGGCAUUUGAUCAGGAAAGGGUUGUUGACGAUGGGGUACAUGAGGACCUGAAAAAGUUUUCAAGGGAUUCUCCAAGAGGAAUAGCUUAUGCUAGUGAACGAUGCAGAGGCCAAUCAGCCCAUUCCAGAUCACCUCCACGCUCUACUUAUCAACAUGAUUCUUUUAGUUCAUUUGAUGGUCAAAAUCAUAACAAUGGGCUGCUCAAAACUGGCCUUAGUGUAGAAAGGCGUGGAACAGAUUUUCAUUAUGAUAAAAGGUUCGACUUUCCACAAACUUUAGAAGAACUAGAAAUGGCGUUUAAGAGGGAAGUGAUGGAAGUUGGAAGUAUGCGGGACCUAGAAGAAGAUGAAGAAAACUACAAGCAUCGUGAGCGUGUUCGAGAGCUGAGAGAGAAUCACAUGAAGAAGCUUGCUGUUAUUAGAGGCAAGCACAUGAAACAGUGGGAGGAAUUUCUUCAGCUUGAUACCCAAAGGCAGAAGCAAGCUCGCUACCAUUCAUACAAUCAACUCGCUUGCACAGAAUAUAACCAGUUGUCUAGGGAUGCUCAAUAUGGUGGACCUAAUUUACCUGUGGAUUCAAGAAACAGGAACCUAUUUCCAAGUGAGGACUAUCCAGCCUCAAGGCCCCAUGAUUUACUUGGUGAUCUUCAGCAUCAACGACAUGAUGAUUUUGGGAGGGCCUAUGGCCGAUAUUGACCUUAGGGUGAAUUUAGAGGGUGCAAAUUUCAUGGUCCCUGAUAACUCUUCAGAGCUCUGAUUGCCUGGUAAGUAAUCAAACCUAUCUAAAGACAAUUAGAUUGUGCGUGAUGAUGGUGGUUGAGAAAUGAAAUUUUUGUGCAUUUCUGAGAAUUUUGCAUAUGGAGGCGGUAUUUUGGACUCAGCAUUACUCUUUCGAGUUGUUUGCAGUGUAGUUUCCUUGUAAUGUGUAACGUGACAAAUCCAAAAUGGUUAAACUACACGAUUUCUUUCUUCUUUUUGCCAAUUUGGAUGACUAUUCCGAGUAGCUAGCCAUUGCUUACCUCUUGCUUUGUUGAGUUAAGAGUAUAUGUCAACUGCUUUGGCCAGCACUGGAGAAAACUGUUAAUUUCCCCAAUUUCUUUCGGUUUCUUCUGCGACGUCAAUAGCUACUGCUGGAGGUAUUGUUUGGGUGUGAAUCAUGUGCUCCUCUGAUUCCAAUUUGAUGUCUCUUUGGAUUUGGAUGUCUACAAGGAUGCACCAUUGAUGGCUGAAUUAUACUAAAUGUCGUCAUCUUGUUCAAUUGCCUAACUGGACAUGGGACAUGGACCUUUUUAUCGUGCUGUUCUACAUUGCAGGUGCAUCUUGUUCAUGGUUUUGCAAAAGAGAUGGGACUCCUUCGAUAUCGUUUUCAGAAGAAAAUAUGAAUGUUAUAGGUCGAACCUACACCCCUUAUGGAUUCGAAGAGUUCAAAUGAUCAAGAUCAUUUCGUUGAUCUCGAAAGCGGAGCAAGUGAAAGUGACGACGCUGUGGACUCCUUGGACAACUCAUCGAGCUCUAUCGAGAGAAGUUUGAUAAAGAAGCUCGGGGUUGAGAGUUCGAGGGAGAAAAGCCAAAGAAAGCCUUCAAAGCCACCACGGCCUCCUAAAUCGACACUUCCAGUUGUUAUCGAUCAGAAAUUGGUUAAGGAAAUAUCGGAGCGUGCUAUGUUGAAAAGGGCAAAAUUUGCGAGGAUGAAAGCAUCCAGGAAGAAGAAAAAUGGGAAGAAGUCAUCUUCUAACGGAUGCUUAUUUGCUCUGGUCAUCACUGUUUUAUUCUGCAUCAUCAUAGUUUGGCAAGGAGUAUUUUCUAAGAGUAGAUCAAGUGAGACGUUACACAGUUCUCCUGAAUCAUCACUUAGAAGCUUGGCUCAGUUUCGCAGAAACCUCUCAACUCAGACCUCUUCAUUCUGGACUUGUAUCUCCUCAAGAAAAAAUUCUUCCAUUCAUAAAUACACGAAAUCAUGAAACAUGUCUGUGAACCUUGGAAAACAUGCGGUUUGAGUGUUGCGAAACGGGUAUACGUGAUCCAUGGAGGAGGAGAAGCUAGCAAAGAAUCAAGAUGAUCUCUUCAUCCAAAUUCUCUGUUGUUCCUUAAUUGUCUUCGCGCACAGAAUAUGGGGUUUUCUAUCCGCCGACAGAAUGCAGAAAAUGAUGAGUUCUGGACAUAUGGUAUCUCAAUUAAAAAUACAAACCAAGAGAGAACAAUAAUUAAUCUUUCUUCAAGAUGGAUUUACUAUUUUUUGUAACUAAGCUCAUAAAGGGCAGAUAAAAUACGUUUGGUUUUGAUUACAAAUAAGACCUGUAAUCUUUAUAGUUUGAGUUUGUUUAAGCAGUGCUUUUCCUAAUUUCAUGUUCUUUUCUCCUUUGCUUA